GAUGAACGCUGGCGGCGUGCCUAAUACAUGCAAGUCGAGCGAACAGACGAGGAGCUUGCUCCUCUGACGUUAGCGGCGGACGGGUGAGUAACACGUGGAUAACCUACCUAUAAGACUGGGAUAACUUCGGGAAACCGGAGCUAAUACCGGAUAAUAUAUUGAACCGCAUGGUUCAAUAGUGAAAGACGGUUUUGCUGUCACUUAUAGAUGGAUCCGCGCCGCAUUAGCUAGUUGGUAAGGUAAAGGCUUAUCAAGGCGACGAUGCGUAGCCGACCUGAGAGGGUGAUCGGCCACACUGGAACUGAGACACGGUCCAGACUCCUACGGGAGGCAGCAGUAGGGAAUCGUCCGCAAUGGGCGAAAGCCUGACGGAGCAACGCCGCGUGAGUGAUGAAGGUCUUCGGAUCGUAAAACUCUGUUAUUAGGGAAGAACAAAUGUGUAAGUAACUAUGCACGUCUUGACGGUACCUAAUCAGAAAGCCACGGCUAACUACGUG
rnacentral:rRNA from 1 species